CCUACGGGUGGCAGCAGUGAGGAAUAUUGGUCAAUGGCCGUAAGGCUGAACCAGCCAAGUCGCGUGAAGGAAGACGGAUCUAUGGUUUGUAAACCUCUUUUAUAGGGGAAUAAAGGUAUCCACGUGUGGAUAUUUGCAUGUACCCUAUGAAUAAGCAUCGGCUAACUCCGUGCCAGCAGCCGCGGUAAUACGGAGGAUGCGAGCGUUAUCCGGAUUUAUUGGGUUUAAAGGGUGCGUCAGUUGUGUUUUAAGUCAGCGGUUAAAGUUUGGGGUGUAACCCUAAAAUUGCCGUUGAAACUGGAAGACUUGAGUGGGUGAGAGGUAGGCGGAAUGCGUGGUGUAGCGGUGAAAUGCAUAGAUAUCACGCAGAACUCCGAUUGCGAAGGCAGCAUACU
rnacentral:rRNA from 1 species